UACGUAGGGCGCAAGCGUUGUCCGGAAUUAUUGGGCGUAAAGAGCUCGUAGGCGGCCUGUUGCGUCCGCUGUGAAAUCCCGGGGCUCAACCCCAAGCCUGCACUGGAUACUGCCGAGCUAGAGUCCGGGAGGGGAGAGCGGAAUUCCUGGUGUAGCGGUGAAAUGCGCAGAUAUUAGGAAGAACACCGGUGGCGAAGGCGGCUCUCUGGAACGGUACUGACGCUGAGACGCGAAAGCGUGGGGAGCGAACAGG
rnacentral:rRNA from 1 species